rnacentral:rRNA from 1 species
CCUACGGGUGGCAGCAGUGAGGAAUAUUGGUCAAUGGGCGCGAGCCUGAACCAGCCAAGUAGCGUGAAGGAUGACUGCCCUACGGUUUGUACACUUCUUUUAUAAAGGAAUAAAGUGAGGCACGUGUGCCUUUUUGUAUGUACUUUAUGAAUAAGGAUCGGCUAACUCCGUGCCAGCAGCCGCGGUAAUACGGAGGAUCCGAGCGUUAUCCGGAUUUAUUGGGUUUAAAGGGAGCGUAGAUGGGGUGUUAAGUCAGUUGUGAAAGUUUGCGGCUCAACCGUAGAAGUGCAAUUGAUACUGGCAGGCUAGAGUACAGUUGAGGUAGGCGGAAUUCGUGGUGUAGCGGUGAAAUGCUUAGAUAUCACGAAGAACUCCGAUUGCGAAGGCAGCUUAUUAAGCUGCCACUGACAGUGAGGCUCGAAAGUGUGGGUAUCAAACAGGAUUAGAUACCCGAGUAGUC